rnacentral:rRNA from 1 species
GACGAACGCUGGCGGCGUGCUUAACACAUGCAAGUCGAGCGGUAAGGCCCUUUCGGGGGUACGACGAGCGGCGAACGGGUGAGUAACACGUGGGUGACCUGCCCUUAGCUCUGGGAUAAGCCUGGGAAACUGGGUCUAAUACCGGAUAUGACUCCAUGACGCAUGUUGUGGGGUGGAAAGCCUUGUGCGGCUAGGGAUGGGCCCGCGGCCUAUCAGCUUGUUGGUGGGGUGAUGGCCUACCAAGGCGACGACGGGUAGCCGGCCUGAGAGGGCGACCGGCCACACUGGGACUGAGACACGGCCCAGACUCCUACGGGAGGCAGCAGUGGGGAAUCUUGCGCAAUGGGCGAAAGCCUGACGCAGCGACGCCGCGU